CUUUGCCGCUCCUCAAUACAGCUCAAGUGAAGAGGCUGAGUUUAUCCCAAUCCUUAAGGACGACCGCGUCCAAGAGGAAGACGGAACAUACAGCUUCGACUUCGAAACUGGCAAUGGCAUCCGCGUGUCCCAGGCUGGAUCCCCUGACGGAGAUGAGGACGCAGUGAUCAAGGCCGGAGAAUACUCUUACACCGCUCCUGACGGCACUGAAAUCCGUCUCCGUUUCGUUGCUGACGACAACGGUUUCCAGCCCGAGGGCGACCACCUGCCCGUGGCUCCCGAGUUCCCCCACCCAAUCCCUCAGUUCGUCCUGGACCAAAUCGCCUUCGCCGCCGAGGAGGACGCCGCCCGCGCCGAUUCCGAUGAAAAUUAAGCCUUUGAAUAAGCUUACGAUUCCAGAAACUUCACGCAAAUAUACAUUUAUUUAUUGUACAUUAUUAUAAAUAAAUCAUGUAAAUAG